ncrna:unclassified sequences pemK RNA
AUAAUGGUACUCCUGCUUAGUAACAGCCCGAGCGUGAUAAAACCGUCGCACGCAAUGAUAGCAGCCGACAGAGAACCUGCCGGGGGUGAAAUUCCCGUGG